rnacentral:rRNA from 1 species
UACGUAGGGUCCGAGCGUUGUCCGGAAUUAUUGGGCGUAAAGAGCUCGUAGGCGGCGUGUCGCGUCUGCUGUGAAAGACCGGGGCUUAACUCCGGUUCUGCAGUGGAUACGGGCAUGCUAGAGGUAGGUAGGGGAGACUGGAAUUCCUGGUGUAGCGGUGAAAUGCGCAGAUAUCAGGAGGAACACCGGUGGCGAAGGCGGGUCUCUGGGCCUUACCUGACGCUGAGGAG